rnacentral:rRNA from 1 species
UUUGGGUGGAUGAGUGGCGAACGGGUGAGUAACACGUGAGUAACCUGCCCCCUUCUUUGGGAUAACGCCCGGAAACGGGUGCUAAUACUGGAUAUUCACUUGCCUUCGCAUGGGGGUUGGUGGAAAGGUUUUUUCUGGUGGGGGAUGGGCUCGCGGCCUAUCAGCUUGUUGGUGGGGUGAUGGCCUACCAAGGCUUUGACGGGUAGCCGGCCUGAGAGGGUGACCGGUCACAUUGGGACUGAGAUACGGCCCAG